rnacentral:rRNA from 1 species
GUGCAUGGCGGCAGCUACCAUGCAGUCGAGCGCACCUUCGGGUGAGCGGCGGACGGGUGAGUAACGCGUGGGAACGUACCCUUCUCUGCGGAAUAGCCACUGGAAACGGUGAGUAAUACCGCAUACGCCCUUCGGGGGAAAGAUUUAUCGGAGAAGGAUCGGCCCGCGUUGGAUUAGGUAGUUGGUGGGGUAAUGGCCUACCAAGCCUACGAUCCAUAGCUGGUUUGAGAGGAUGAUCAGCCACACUGGGACUGAGACACGGCCCAGACUCCUACGGGAGGCAGCAGUGGGGAAUCUUAGACAAUGGGCGCAAGCCUGAUCUAGCCAUGCCGCGUGAGUGAAGAAGGCCUUAGGGUCGUAAAGCUCUUUCGCUGGGGAAGAUAAUGACUGUACCCAGUAAAGAAACCCCGGCUAACUCCGUGCCAGCAGCCGCGGUAAUACGGAGGGGGUUAGCGUUGUUCGGAAUUACUGGGCGUAAAGCGCGCGUAGGCGGAUCAGAAAGUUGGGGGUGAAA